rnacentral:tRNA from 1 species
GAAAACUUCUAUAUACUACUGCUAAUAGUAUUUUAGAGAUUACCUUCUCAGUUUUCU